rnacentral:lncRNA from 1 species
GUUGGCCUAUAUUCACAACAGCAUGGUGAUAUGUCUGCAGUAAAAUGUUACCAGUCCUGUAAUUUCUUGGUAAGCAGGAGAAGUUCACGCAGCUCUGCAGAGAGCCCUGGUAUUGUUGUAAUGUGUCUGUGUUAUUUUAUGAUCUCUGUGUUUCUGCGUAGAUGUACUGUAGCAUUUAGACAAUUUUCUCUUUGUUAGCUGCAGGAAAAGAUCAAUAUUAUAAAGAGGUCGAGUGACUCCGUGAAUUAGUCUCCUGCGUUUUCACCCCUGGAAGCAGAGGUUUAAUCCUGUGCCUGGGCAGGAGGAGGAAGGAGGAAAACAAGGUUCCCCCUUGCCAGCACCGCCUGCUGUCCCCCCAACGGAGCAGGCUGAGCAGCCCACACCAGUGCCAGGCUGCCCCAGCAUCCCCCACCACCACCGCUCGUGUGCAGCUGGCCCCACAACACCAAGAGGAUUUCUUUCCCCUCUGCCUCUGAUUACUAUGACCAUAGUAAAAAGUCUAGACAAAACGGAUGAAAUCAUCACCUUCUGAAAGCUCUAAUUACAUCAUACGCUUUAAAUUCCAAAAUUCAUCUCGCCAGCGGAAUUGCCUUUCGUAUCUCCCAGUUCUGGGGCAAAACAGCAGCAAGCACAUGCCAGGGAUGAGGGCUCCUCGACGCAGGGAGAGGGAGCGAGAUGGAUCUGGAGUCAGGAGUGGGAUGCCCAGGGGAAAGGAGAAGAAACGUGAAGGCACGAGAAGGGGCUCGCGCUGGCCGGAGGCAGGCUCAGGGCAGCAAGCCACCGCGCGCUGCCGCUCUGAGCUGGGCUGCCAAAUUCCGACGCAGUCGCAGGAUGACCCGCAGCAACCCCAUUUCAGGCUUGGGUGUCUCUUCGGCAGCGGCUGCCAAUUAGAGCGGCCGGUGCCAAAUUAUUUGGCAGAUUGGUGCCAUGGACAGACAGCCAGUCAUGGAUUUGCGCUGCUUUCCUUGAAGUAAUUACCAUGACAAUAACACUGACUUGAAUAAAGAAAACAUUUUUAUGGUGGAGGAGAGGGGC